AACUUUCAACAACGGAUCUCUUGGCUCUCGCACCGAUGAAGAACGCAGCGAAAUGCGAUAAGUAAUGUGAAUUGCAGAUUUUCAGUGAAUCAUCGAAUCUUUGAACGCACCUUGCGCCCCUUGGUAUUCCGAGGGGCAUGCCUGUUUGAGUGUCAUUG
rnacentral:rRNA from 1 species